GAAAUGCGAUAAGUAGUGUGAAUUGCAGAAUUCAGUGAAUCAUCGAAUCUUUGAACGCACAUUGCGCCCUUUGGUAUUCCAAAUGGCAUGCCUGUUCGAGCGUCAUUUGUACCCUCAAGCUUUGCUUGGUGUUGGGCGUCUUGUCUCUAGCUUUGCUGGAGACUCGCCUUAAAGUAAUUGGCAGCCGGCCUACUGGUUUCGGAGCGCAGCACAAGUCGCACUCUCUAUCAGCAAAGGUCUAGCAUCCAUUAAGCCUUUUUUCAACUUUUGACCUCGGAUCAGGUAGGGAUACCCGCUGAACUUAAGC
rnacentral:misc_RNA from 1 species